rnacentral:tRNA from 1 species
UUUUUAAAAUACCUAUCCCCGUAUAUUCAAUUUCCAAUUGAAAAGAAAAAUAAA